rnacentral:rRNA from 1 species
CUCGUGAAUUCAUGCUCCGGGGGUAGAGCACUGUUUCGGCAAGGGGGUCAUCCCGACUUACCAACCCGAUGCAAACUGCGAAUACCGGAGAAUGUUAUCACGGGAGACACACGGCGGGUGCUAACGUCCGUCGUGAAGAGGGAAACAACCCAGACCGCCAGCUAAGGUCCCAAAGUCAUGGUUAAGUGGGAAACGAUGUGGGAAGGCCCAGACAGCCAGGAUGUUGGCUUAGAAGCAGCCAUCAUUUAAAGAAAGCGUAAUAGCUCACUGGUCGAGUCGGCCUGCGCGGAAGAUGUAACGGGGCUAAACCAUGCACCGAAGCUGCGGCAGCGACACUGUGUGUUGUUGGGUAGGGGAGCGUUCUGUAAGCCUGUGAAGGUGUACUGUGAGGUAUGCUGGAGGUAUCAGAAGUGCGAAUGCUGACAUAAGUAACGAUAAAGCGGGUGAAAAGCCCGCUCGCCGGAAGACCAAGGGUUCCUGUCCAACGUUAAUCGGGGCAGGGUGAGUCGACCCCUAAGGCGAGGCCGAAAGGCGUAGUCGAUGGGAAACAGGUUAAUAUUCCUGUACUUGGUGUUACUGCGAAGGGGGGACGGAGAAGGCUAUGUUGGCCGGGCGACGGUUGUCCCGGUUUAAGCGUGUAGGCUGGUUUUCCAGGCAAAUCCGGAAAAUCAAGGCUGAGGCGUGAUGACGAGGCACUACGGUGCUGAAGCAACAAAUGCCCUGCUUCCAGGAAAAGCCUCUAAGCAUCAGGUAACAUCAAAUCGUACCCCAAACCGACACAGGUGGU